CCUUGUCGCCAGAAGAUCGGUUUCAAUCGUACAUGGUUCUUGCCUUUUACCAGAACCAUCCGGGAAUCGUCUUUGCUAAUGGUGUAUACAUAUUUUUUGGAA